rnacentral:rRNA from 1 species
ACACUUAACGGAUUAAGCAUUCCGCCUGGGAGUACGGUCGCAAGGUUAAAACUCAAAGGAAUUGACGGGGACCCGCACAAGCGUUGGAGCAUGUGGUUUAAUUCGAAGCAACGCGCAGAACCUUACCAACACUUGACAUCCUGAUCGCGGUUACCAGAGAUGGUUUCCUUCAGUUCGGCUGGAUCAGUGACAGGUGCUGCAUGGCUGUCGUCAGCUCGUGUCGUGAGAUGUUCGGUUAAGUCCGGCAACGAGCGCAACCCACAUCUUUAGUUGCCAGCAGUUCGGCUGGGCACUCUAAAGAAACUGCCCGUGAUAAGCGGGAGGAAGGUGUGGAUGACGUCAAGUCCUCAUGGCCCUUACGGGUUGGGCUACACACGUGCUACAAUGGCAUCUACAGUGGGUUAAUCCCCAAAAGAUGUCUCAGUUCGGAUUGGGGUCUGCAACUCGACCCCAUGAAGUCGGAAUCGCUAGUAAUCGCGUAACAGCAUGACGCGGUGAAUACGUUCCCGGGCCUUGUACACACCGCCCGUCACACCAUGGGAGUUGGUUCUACCUGACGGCCGUGCGCUAACCUCUUUGAGGAGGCAGCGGACCACGGUAGGAUCGGCGACUGGGGUGAAGUCGUAACAAGUAGCCAU